rnacentral:misc_RNA from 1 species
AGAGAGAGAGAGAGAGAGAUAUGGUGUGUGCUUGCCUUCAACCACCCUCCUCCUCUCAAAAAAAAAAAAAAAAAUCCCUUGUAAUUACACUACGGUUACCCACGUCACAUUGUCCGCAAAAAGCCACGGACGUUAAUCAGGAAGUUGUUUACAUUCUUCCUAAAUCUUUGGUAAUUCAUACGGUCUAGAGCGGAUGAAAGUUGAUUGGAGCUUGUGAGGGAUUGUAAUGCACUUGCUAGCCUUGAUCGGAGUGUUGGAUUCAAUUGCCUCUCUAUCAAUUCAUUUGCUAAUUUCUGGUAUAGGUCUUGCUCACAAAGAAUCAAUGGAAAGAGAGCAUCUGCUGCAGGACUGACAAGAUCAGGACUGUAAUCCUCAAAAAGGAGCAACUGCAGUAACAAUCUAAGGAAGCGACUUAAGAUGCCUUCCUGCAAGUUGCCUUGCUGAUCUUUAAUACCCUUGGUGUGAGAGCCCAGGCCAAUUUUGCCUGCAUGCGUCUCCUUGUAAUGGAAGGAGGCAAGAGCUUUAAGAGCCCUCAGGCACAUAUUUACUACUUCUGUGUCCUGGUGGUGAAGGCCAAAAUCUAGAGUUCCAAGCACAUGAGCAAAAGCUUCACUAUUUAGUCGUGCAACUGUUUCAGGAUAAACCUCCAACAUAUGCGACAACAGAGAGAAGUAAUCAUGACAAAGCUUGGGGUAUUUCAGCAGCUCUAAAGAAAUUAAUGGGGUAACUAUGAGAAGACCAAAGUAAACAACCUCAGAUAUAUUUGUCCCCUGUGCCUCAAUGGAAUCUGAAGAAAAGUCGACCAGAUCUUUUGAACAGAGAUUUGAAAGAAGCUGAAGAAGAGCACGUAAAUCCUUGUACUUCUCAGUCUUGGCCUCACUAAGUAAGCUGCUUGAAAGACUCAAUGAUAUCUUGCCGAUAUUGUAAGAUGAGUAAAGCUGAAGCAAACGCAUACAGAAAUCAAUAACGGCAGCAGUUUCUUGAGCCUCCAGGUAGGAAAUUUGCCCAUCCACCCAAUCAACAACAAACUUAAGUAGCAGAUAAACAACUGCAGACUCGUGUUUAUAUGCUUCAAGGAGAACCAGAAGAGGGUUCAUUACAGAGAAUCCCAUCUCAUAAAGAGAUCUUUGGGUUCGAGGUUCUGAGGCACUAGCAGCUCCACGUAGCCGCUCCAACAAGCAACUGACUGAUAGGAUGACAUCUGGCUGUUGAGCAACACUUUUGAGGUCACUCUUGUUAGACAAUUCCACUAGAUAAUUUGUCGUAUGACCCAUGAGAUCCCUUACAUAUUGAUUAGAUGCUUCUGAAUUUCUUAUUCCAGAAGCACCAAGGACAAGGGUUUGAGCCAGUGAACGUUGAUUAGCAGUGUUUAACAAGAACAAAGCUUUGUCAUUAGCAAAAGCAUUUGCUAGUUCACGCCACGAGUCCAACGUGACAAGGUGAACACAAAUAUUUUUUCGUCGAACAAGAGUAUGAAGUAGUUGGUAGCAAGUGAGAGCCUGCAAAUCCUUUUCCCCAGGAUAAGACAAAAGCGUUGUCACUGAGAUGCGAACAAUAGUGUCAAGCACAAGUUUUCCCUGAUUAUGUUCUCCAAAAAAGCUGAGCAAGGCUUUUCUGGAGUGCAAUUGCCGAAACUGAUAUUCAUGAUCAUGACCUGAAUUGAAAUUACGGUCCCUAAAUUCUUCUGGCAUGAGAUAUGUACGAGACCAUCUGGCAAGAAACCAUAUAACAGCCUCCAUUAGACGAGGACUGAAAACUGAAGCUCUCACUUCUGGAUCUAAACUCUGCUCAGCAAACUUUAUAAUUGAGAUUGAGAGCACAACAACUGGAUGUUUGUCUGCCUCCAGAAUGUCCACAAAAUGAGUUUGUAUGGUAUUCGGAAUCAAGGGUGUUUCUCCCUCCCCUUCAUCUGCAAGUACAUGCCCAGUUAUCAAUAAUAAUGAGUAAAGUUCCUCCAAAGUUGGCGUUGGAUCAAUGAUGCCCCUGCCCUGAUGAAUCCGUGCAACAAGCUCAGAAAAGAGUCUUGUGAGUAAUGGAGUUGCGACAUCAACUGCUGCUCUUGCUAUAAGAGCAUAAGAACUUAACCUUUCAUCCAUGGCAGAGAUGGAAGCCUGAAGGUAGUCAGAUUCAUCUUCAUCAUUCAUUGCUGAUGCAGAAGCCACUCUUAGCUCAGAUGCUGCAAUUAAGGAAAAAAGAUUGGCUGCAGCAUUUAUACCUUCGGGCGGAAGUAAUGCAUUCCCGCCAGUACCAUCCAUUGGCAUGAGUAGAGUGGUCCAGGUAUCUAAUAAGAUAUCACGUGCCUCCCAGCUCCAUGUCUCCUCAUCAGUGUUAUUUUUCAUGAGAACUUUGAUAACUUCACACAUCAAGGUGGAUAAUAGGGUAAGAGUGCCAAAGGUACUGAAUAACGAGACAAAAGUUUUCCAUGUUUAAAACAUACAAGCCAUAGUACUUGCUAAAUAUGCAGCAACUGUUUUGUAUACUUAGGAAGGAAUGAAAGGUGCUAAAAUAAGAUUAUGAAGACUCUGAAUGACCUUAUGGAUUUCAUGAGUUGGUCAAACACAAGGGGAGUUGUCACAGUAGCCAUUGAUGAUAAUGCUCGGCAGCCAUCAAGCAUCUCACUGAAUACAAUGAGAAUGAUUUUGAGGCUUCGCAGGUAGUAUAACAACUAAGUGCAAAAAGACAGUAACAUAUAGGGACUCAACCUUUCACUCUUCCCACAUUCAAUUGCUUGCAAAACAGCAUCAGGAGGAUCAAUCCACCGUAACAUCCCAGAAUGCAGUUGUAGCAAAUGAUUUUCUUGUCUUUAUCCAUUAUCUAGAUAAUUGAACAUUGACGCACUGAUACUGUAACUAAAAAUUAAACAACAAAAAUUUUGAAUGCAUAAACAAUUUCAUUUAUCGAGAUUACCAAGUGUUAAUGCAUUGGGAUCACAUCCAACCACCAAAUACUUCUUUUUUUUUAUUUAUUUAUUUGGCGAUUGGAGGAAGAAAAGAGGACAGAAGAGGGGGGGGGGGGGGGGGGGC